CAGCCGCCGCGGGAAUACGAAGGGUGCAAGCGUUACUCGGAAUUACUGGGCGUAAAGCGUGCGUAGGUGGUGGUUUAAGUCCGUUGUGAAAGCCCUGGGCUCAACCUGGGAAUUGCAGUGGAUACUGGGUCACUAGAGUGUGGUAGAGGAUAGUGGAAUUUCCGGUGUAGCAGUGAAAUGCGUAGAGAUCGGGAGGAACAUCAGUGGCGAAGGCGGCCAUCUGGGACAACACUGACGCUGAGGCACGAAAGCGUGGGGAGCAAACAGGAUUAGAUACCCUGUAGUCCCUGUCUCUUAUACC
rnacentral:rRNA from 1 species